UAAUACGGAGGGUGCAAGCGUUAAUCGGAAUUACUGGGCGUAAAGCGCACGCAGGCGGUUUGUUAAGUCAGAUGUGAAAUCCCCGGGCUCAACCUGGGAACUGCAUUUGAAACUGGCAAGCUAGAGUCUCGUAGAGGGGGUAGAAUUCCAGGUGUAGCGGUGAAAUGCGUAGAGAUCUGGAGGAAUACCGGUGGCGAAGGCGGCCCCUGGACGAAGACUGACGCUCAGGUGCGAAAGCGUGGGGAGCAAACAGGAUUAGAUACCCUGGUAGUCCACGCUGUAAACGAUGUCGAUUUGGAGGUUGUGCCCUUGAGGCGUGGCUUCCGGAGCUAACGCGUUAAAUCGACCGCCUGGGGAGUACGGCCGCAAGGUUA
rnacentral:rRNA from 1 species